UAGAAGAUGACAGGCCUGUCAUCCUCUCUACAUUGCAUUCUUAGCUACUAUUAAACAUUGUUAUUUAUACUUUAUUUUCAACUUAUUUUCUUACAUAAACCUUAGUAGAUCUUCAUAUUUACCAAAAGAUAAAAUAAAAAACAGGGAGCUUAGGCUGUCACUCGCUUCUAAAGUUUGGUUCACUUAGUAUCAAAAAUUCAAGAUAACGAACUGCAUUAACAGGGAUGUCCGCAACAUGUGAAUAUAUGGGUUCCUUAUGGCACCAAAUGACCUCAUUUCUUGAAACAAUCAUACAAUGACCUUUAUAUUUUUGUUUUAAACACAAGAAGUACACAAAAUAGAAAAUAGGCUGAAAAUAGAUAACUGGAAGAGGUUACAGCUUAGAUCUAGACAAUCAUGAGCGGGUGAAUUUCAAUCAGAAAGGUCAAAUAAGAAACAACUCGUUUACUGUUAUUUCAAAGGGAGAGGGCUGCAAAGAAAAGAGGCUUAGAAGAAGACAAAGGUGUAGUAACACCAUAUGUAGCUAAGCUGUGAACCUUGUUGCAGCUGGGUCAUGUAGGUGGAAAAGUAAAUAAAUAAGUGAGGGAGAGUAUGUGGAUCACGCAAAAAUUCACAAAGAUGCACCUUUACAGCAGGAAACCCCUGAGCAGCAAACUACUGAAUGAAAAACUAUUAUAGAAGGAACCAUGCUGGAAGAUGCUAUAACAAGGAGUUAGUGGUCCUGAGGUACUGUGGAGGAUGUACAGGUGGUCCUAUCUGAUAUUCUGACAUGUGACCUGUCCUUUGCAGACAUUUCACAUUCUUUAGAUAACAAGUUAGUGGUGGCAUUACCAGGAAAGAAGACCCUUAGGUGAGAGAGAUGUGGUUUAUGGGGAGGAAAAAAGGAUACAAAAGCAUGGCAGGAGGCAAGGUGUGCUGAACCUCUCCACAGAUCCAAACUUUACAGCAUGCCAUUAACACCAUGAAGUGGACUGUCCGAUGCUGGCACACCUCAGCCAUCCUGGUAUCUGAAGGGACCUAGGGCUCAGUUUCUAUUCAGCA
rnacentral:lncRNA from 1 species